GUGCUCGCUUUGGCAGCACAUAUAAUAAAAUUGGAACGAUACAGAGAAGAUUAGCAUGGCCCCUGCAAGGAUGACACACAAAUUUGUGAAGCGUUCCAUAUUUUU
ensembl:snRNA U6 U6 spliceosomal RNA